rnacentral:misc_RNA from 1 species
CUACCCUCAAGCGCAGCUUGUUUGUUGAGCCAGAUUGUCCCUUAAGUGGACAGGCUUGAAAUGCAGUGGCGAUGCCGAGUUCGGUGCCCGAGCGUAUGGAGCUUUGUCACACGCUUUUGUGGCCCAGCCGGCAUUCUGUCGACUUUUUGAUUUACCUAAG